rnacentral:rRNA from 1 species
GACGAACGCUGGCGGCGCGCCUAACACAUGCAAGUCGAACGAGCGAGAGGAGGUUUACUUUCUCAAGCGAGUGGCGAACGGGUGAGUAACGCGUGAGGAACCUGCCUCAAAGAGGGGGACAACAGUUGGAAACGACUGCUAAUACCGCAUAAGCCCACGACCCGGCAUCGGGUAGAGGGAAAAGGAGCAAUCCGCUUUGAGAUGGCCCCGCGUCCGAUUAGCUAGUUGGUGAGGUAAUGGCCCACCAAGGCGACGAUCGGUAGCCGGACUGAGAGGUUGAACGGCCACAUUGGGACUGAGACACGGCCCAGACUCCUACGGGAGGCAGCAGUGGGGAAUAUUGCACAAUGGGGGAAACCCUGAUGCAGCGACGCCGCGUGGAGGAAGAAGGUCUUCGGAUUGUAAACUCCUGUUGUUGAGGAAGAUAAUGACGGUACUCAACAAGGAAGUGACGGCUAACUACGUG